rnacentral:rRNA from 1 species
UUCCAGACUCCUACGGGAGGCAGCAGUGAGGAAUAUUGGUCAAUGGACGCAAGUCUGAACCAGCCAUGCCGCGUGCAGGAUGACGGCUCUAUGAGUUGUAAACUGCUUUUGUACGAGGGUAAACCCCGAUACGUGUAUCGGGUUGAAAGUAUCGUACGAAUAAGGAUCGGCUAACUCCGUGCCAGCAGCCGCGGUAAUACGGGGGAUGCAAGCGUUAUCCGGAUUUAUUGGGUUUAAAGGGUGCGUAGGCUGUGAGGUAAGUCAGCGGUGAAAUGCCCCCGCUCAACGGGGUGAAGUGCCAUUGAUACUGCCUUGCUGGAAUGCGGAUGCCGUGGGAGGAAUGUGUGGUGUAGCGGUGAAAUGCAUAGAUAUCACACAGAACACCGAUUGCGAAGGCAUCUCACGAAUCCGCGAUUGACGCUGAUGCACGAAAGCGUGGGUAUCAAACAGGAUUAGAUACCCCAGUA